AUUGAACGCUGGCGGCAGGCCUAACACAUGCAAGUCGAACGAGUGGCGGACGGGUGGGUAAUGUCUGGGAAACUGCCCGAUGGAGGGGGAUAACUACUGGAAACGGUAGCUACUACCGCAUACCAUCGGAUGUUCCCAGAUGGGAUUAGCUAGGAGGUGGGGUAAAGGCUCACCUAGGCGACGAUCCCUGGCUGGUCUGAGAGGAUGACCAGCCACACUGGAACUGAGACACGGUCCAGACCACUACGGGAGGCAGGAGGGGGGAAUAUUGCACAAUGGGAGCAAGCCUGAUGCAGCCAUGCCGCGUGUAUGAAGAAGGCCUUCGGGUUGUAAAGUACUUUCAGCUGGGAGGCGUUACCCGCAGAAGAAGCACCGGCUAACUCCGUGCCAGCAGCCGCGGUAAUAC
rnacentral:rRNA from 1 species